AUACGGAGGAUGCGAGCGUUAUCCGGAUUUAUUGGGUUUAAAGGGAGCGUAGGUGGGAUAUUAAGUCAGCUGUGAAAGUUUGGGGCUCAACCUUAAAAUUGCAGUUGAUACUGGUUUCCUUGAGUACGGUACAGGUGGGCGGAAUUCGUGGUGUAGCGGUGAAAUGCAUAGAUAUCACGAAGAACUCCGAUCGCGAAGGCAGCUCACCGGGCCGGAACUGACACUGAUGCACGAAAGUGCGGGUAUCAAACAGGAUUAGAUACCCUGGUAGUCCGCACAGUAAACGAUGAAUACUCGCUGUUUGCGAUACACGGUAAGCGGCCAAGCGAAAGCGUUAAGUAUUCCACCUGGGGAGUACGCCGGCAACGGUGAAACUCAAAGGAAUUGACGGGG
rnacentral:rRNA from 1 species